rnacentral:rRNA from 1 species
GGGCGACUGAAAGAGGUUUGUGAAAGAGUAUGGGGAUUUGGACAGAGCCGGUUUUGUUAAGUUUAAAGGGUGAAAUUUAUUAGAUGUCGGUAAAUUUGGCUCGAGAACGAAGAUCCUGAUUUUCUGAAGUCCAGGUGGUAAAAUAGGAUUAGAGACCCUACUAUACUUGGUUUUAAUUGAAUGAUCUUUGAGUAGUAAACAGUUAUAACCUCGAAACUCAAAGGAUUUGGCGGUAUCUAAGUCUGGUUAGAGGAAUUUGUGCAGUAAACGAUAAUCCGCGAGAAUCUAGCCUUACCUUGUAAAGGUCAGUUUGUAUACCGCCAUUAUUAGAUAAUCUUAUAUAAAGAGUUGUUGAAAUCAAGAAUUAGUUGAGUAUAUUAGGUCAAGGUGCAGCUUAUGGUAAGGAUGUCAUGAAUUACAUUGAUAAUAAGUGUUAAACGAAUAAGUUCUGGUUGUGGAGCUUUGAAGGUGGAUUUAAUUGUAAAAGAUGUGAAUUUUGCUUGUUUGGUAAAAGCUCUUGGAUAUGUACACAUCGCCCGUCGUUCUCACUCU